AUUGAACGCUGGCGGCAGGCCUAACACAUGCAAGUCGAGCGAGCGGCGGACGGGUGAGUAAUGUAUGGGGAUCUGCCUGCUGGCUGGGGUUAACUCCUGGAACCGGUAGCUAAUACCGCAUACCAUCAGAUGAACCCAUAUGGGAUUAUCUUGUAGGUGAGGUAACGGCUCACCUAGGCGACGAUCGCUAGCUGGUCUGAGAGGAUGAUCAGCCACACUGGGACUGAGACACGGCGCAGACUCCUACGGGAGGCAGCAGUGGGGAAUAUUGCACAAGGGGCGCAAGCCGGAUGCAGCCAUGCCGCGUGUAUGAAGAAGGCCUUAGGGUUGUAAAGUACUGUAAGUCGGGAGGCGUGACCGACAGAAGAAGCACCGGCUAACUCCGUGCCAGCAGCCGCGGUAAGAC
rnacentral:rRNA from 1 species